rnacentral:rRNA from 1 species
UACGUAGGGGGGCAAGCGUUAUCCGGAUUCACUGGGUUUAAAGGGUGCGUAGGUGGGCAAGUAAGUCAGUGGUGAAAUCUCCGGGCUUAACCCGGAAACUGCCAUUGAUACUAUUUGUCUUGAAUACUGUGGAGGUCAGCGGAAUAUGUCAUGUAGCGGUGAAAUGCUUAGAUAUGACAUAGAACACCAAUUGCGAAGGCAGCUGGCUACACAAAUAUUGACACUGAGGCACGAAAGCGUGGGGAUCAAACAGG